UUAAAAUCCUUAAAAUAAUAAUUUUAUUGUGUUUUGAAGCACAAGUUUCAGUCAGAGGGCACUCCAUGAGGUGAAAGUCAUCAUUUCCACUCAGUUCAGUACAAUGUGUGAACUACAACAACACACAUUUCAGAUAUCAGUGAACUCAAUGCUCCGCUUUUGCAAAAAUGGCCCUAAAAUACAACUGAGAAAAUACAAGGGACAAAUGAGUGUGCUGUGAAGGAGGCAACAAAACUGCCUGAGAUCCACACAUCACACAAUAUUCUUAAUACAGAGAACACAGGCUUCCUAAAAAUAUCUAUCAUAAAAAUCUAACUAGCAAAACAAGUCUUUUGCUUCUAACUAUUGUUAAGUCAGAAACGUCUCCUUAUAAUGUCCAUAAACAUAAUGAACAUGUUGUUUAGUAUAGUUUAAACUCUUCAAAGAAAAAUAAAUAUAUUUAUAUGAUGUAUGUAAAAUAUGUCUCUUCUUUAAAAGGCAUCUCUCUUGUCAUUUCUAUUAACACUUUGGCGUAGUGUUUAUGAAAUACAUUCAGUGCUUAUCAGGAUGCGCCGAAAGAAACAUAAGUGUUCAUGUGCAAGUGUCACAACAGACCAGCUAAAUCUGCAUCAAAACUAUAAAUAAAUAAAAGUGGUUUCUUUCCCGACCCUCAUGUUGGCACAUUAUAAAUAUUUACGAUGCUGGCGGGCGGACCACAUACAUCCAUUGAGAUGCAUUGUAAGACUUCAGAGUGGGUUCAAACUGGUAUAUUGGGGUCAUGCUGGUAAAUGUUUCUCUGAAUAGGUUUUGGGCAGGUUAUUCCUGCUAAGAAUUUCCAUGAAGGAUCACUUUAACACAAUUUAAAGUGUUGAACAAAUGCUACGUUAUGGCUGCAUUCAUUGUGAUAUAUUUCCACUCUUGACACUUGCUCAGUAAUUGUACAUAAAUAUCUGAUGGCUGCAGCCACAUCAAAACAAAAUAAAUAAAUAAUAUUUCAAACAAAAGCUAGAUCUAAAGUGUUCAAAGCUGAAGCAGUGACAUUGCUAUAGGCACUAGGACGUUCACAGCAGCAAAGAGCCCAGUGUACAAAACAUCUGAUAUGCAAGGCAGCCUAUGUUGAGUAUCACACAAAACCAGACUGUGUUCUUGGCUUUGGUGUUUGUUUUCAUGUUACUCAGAUCUGCUCAGGCAGUAUCCUGUUUAACCGGUACAAAAGUGCAGUCAACGUGUGCAUAGCUUCAAACAUGCACAACUAAAGUGGGACACACAGUGGACUUGUACAUGUCUGAUCCUCUGCCCCUCCAGAUCUCCUCUCAGGAUAUGAGUUUAACUGAGCUGAUCCUCAUACUGUUUUCUGAAACAGUCUCCAGCUGGGAAGAAGUCCCAGCAUCGCUCCUGGUACAUCUUCCACACAUAGGACUCCU
ensembl:lncRNA